GAGGCUUGCCUCUUUUCAUGCGGACCCAAGAGAAAAACAAAAAAAUAGGGGGAGGGUUUUUCUUAUAUUUUUUAUACAAAAUUCAUCAUCCACGAAGAUCCAACCGUUCAAUCUCAAAUUCAACCUCGGUAAUAGGUUACUUAGAACUUGUUUGGGACUACCCAAACCAUGGGUUUUGGUUUGGUGAAAUUUUGACGUUUAUACUUUAGUUGCAGGUUUUGCAGAUAUAGAUAUUGAUUCGUCCACCUAGCGCAUGGGAUGCUAUGAUUGGAGCAUAUCGCGACAGUCAUAAGUCACAGACUCAUGGGUAGUCCGUAUUUUGAGUAUUUUAUUUAUCCUUUGUGUCCUACGUAGCACAUAUAUUUGUUGAGCCUGUGUUAUGGUAUGUAAUUAGUUUAAUGUGUUUUAUAAGCCUUAAAUAGAUAGACUUGUAAAUGGCUCUUGUUGUAAAUAGCUAUCAUGUAUUAGAUGUA